CCAUAAAGCUAAACCCUUUAUGGACGGGAACCCUAAGGUAAUCUCAUAAACUGGCCUUCCUCAUUUUUAAUAUAUAAUGAUUGUUGUU